AGAGUUUGAUCCUGGCUCAGGACGAACGCUGGCGGCGCGCCUAACACAUGCAAGUCGAACGAGCGAGAGAGAGCUUGCUUUCUCGAGCGAGUGGCGAACGGGUGAGUAACGCGUGAGGAAUCUGCCUCAAAGAGGGGGACAACAGUUGGAAACGACUGCUAAUACCGCAUAAGCCCACGGCUCGGCAUCGAGCAGAGGGAAAAGGAGCAAUCCGCUUUGAGAUGGCCCCGCGUCCGAUUAGCUAGUUGGUGAGGUAAUGGCCCACCAAGGCGACGAUCGGUAGCCGGACUGAGAGGUUGAACGGCCACAUUGGGACUGAGACACGGCCCAGACUCCUACGGGAGGCAGCAGUGGGGAAUAUUGCACAAUGGGGGAAACCCUGAUGCAGCGACGCCGCGUGGAGGAAGAAGGUCUUCGGAUUGUAAACUCCUGUUGUUGAGGAAGAUAAUGACGGUACUCAACAAGGAAGUGACGGCUAACUACGUGCCAGCAGCCGCGGUAAAACGUAGGUCACAAGCGUUGUCCGGAAUUACUGGGUGUAAAGGGAGCGCAGGUGGGAAGACAAGUUGGAAGUGAAAUCUAUGGGCUCAACCCAUAAACUGCUUUCAAAACUGUUUUUCUUGAGUAGUGCAGAGGUAGGCGGAAUUCCCGGUGUAGCGGUGGAAUGCGUAGAUAUCGGGAGGAACACCAGUGGCGAAGGCGGCCUACUGGGCACCAACUGACGCUGAGGCUCGAAAGUGUGGGUACAAACAGGAUUAGAUACACUGGUAGUCCACACCGUAAACGAUGAUUACUAGGUGUUGGAGGAUUGACCCCUUCAGUGCCGCAGUUAACACAAUAAGUAAUCCACCUGGGGAGUACGACCGCAAGGUUGAAACUCAAAGGAAUUGACGGGGGCCCGCACAAGCAGUGGAGUAUGUGGUUUAAUUCGACGCAACGCGAAGAACCUUACCAAGUCUUGACAUCCCUUGACGAUGCUGGAAACAGUAUUUCUCUUCGGAGCAAGGAGACAGGUGGUGCAUGGUUGUCGUCAGCUCGUGUCGUGAGAUGUUGGGUUAAGUCCCGCAACGAGCGCAACCCUUACUGUCAGUUACUACGCAAGAGGACUCUGGCAGGACUGCCGUUGACAAAACGGAGGAAGGUGGGGAUGACGUCAAAUCAUCAUGCCCUUUAUGACUUGGGCUACACACGUACUACAAUGGCGUUAAACAAAGAGAAGCAAGACCGCGAGGUGGAGCAAAACUCAGAAACAACGUCCCAGUUCGGAAUGCAGGCUGCAACUCGCCUGCACGAAGUCGGAAUUGCUAGUAAUCGUGGAUCAGCAUGCCACGGUGAAUACGUUC
rnacentral:rRNA from 1 species